rnacentral:rRNA from 1 species
AAUCAACGCUGGCGGCGUGCCUCAGACAUGCAAGUCGAACGCGAAAGUCCCCUUCGGGGGACAAGUAGAGUGGCGCACGGGUGAGUAACACGUGGGUAAUUUACCUUCGGGUGGGGAAUAACAGUCGGAAACGACUGCUAAUACCGCAUGAUGCAGCGGCACCACAUGGUGACAGUUGUUAAAGCGGGGGAGUCGCAAGACCUCGCGCCUGAAGAGAAGCCCGCGGCAGAUUAGCUAGUUGGUAAGGUAAUGGCUUACCAAGGCAACGAUCUGUAGCCGGCCUGAGAGGGCGGUCGGCCACACUGACACUGAAUAACGGGUCAGACUCCUACGGGAGGCAGCAGUCGGGAAUUUUGGGCAAUGGGCGCAAGCCUGACCCAGCAACGCCGCGUGAAGGAUGAAGUAUUUC